GGACAAUUGGGGUGCACAUAGGGCCAAUGGACCCAAAAUCGGGUGUAGAAGGGUAUUUUCAUAAUUUUAAUCGAACGGGCUUUUUGUCCCAAGGGAAUUUCACGUGUUAUUCGGUAUGCCUUUGAGGAUGUUAGGCGCUAAAGCGAUGAGUAAUAAUAAAGUGUAUUUUGGUCCUAUCUAUUGUAAUAGACCGGAGGACAAAGGUCGGACUUACCUCGAGGAGGAGGUAUUCAGAGAUGAAAUAACUGUGAUAGGUGUCAGUGUUCGAGAAGAAGUCGCCUUUGAAGCAGAUCGAGUUGUGUCCGAGUUGCGAAAGGCAGUGCAAUCCCGAGGAUCACCCUCACGCCUCCACCUGGACCGGCUUGGUUUGGAAGUACGCUGGGGUAAAUUUGCAGAUCAUCUCAGGUUAGAACAUCACGAGAAAGGACGAGUAGUGGCUACAAAAUCACCAACAACAGGCAAGGAACUUACUAUCUCUCGAUUAAAUUGCAGCCCUUCUCUGGUAUAUCUGGAGAUCCCAGAAACGACUCUCGUGUUCUGAGCGAAGACCGCACCACCAAACCCAGGAACCCUAAUCGCCUCAGUGGAGUCCGCGAUCAGAAAUUAUAGCAAGCGGAACACUAAAAUGUUGGAAACUCGACACGAUUCGAGUCGAUUUUACCUGUUAAUCGGUGCCCGCCGAAAACCCAGUCCCUCAAGAAAACUAUCGAUGGGGUCCUUUGAAGCCGGUGGUUCGGAAGGAGCGAUUGCAGGUGCUCUUCGCGACGGCCUCAGGCGUACUGCUCAAUGGAUUCUCGAGAAAGAAGAUCCCUUGCUUCCUCCGCCGAUUCAAGCUGAAGCUCUCGCCCUGGUAAGAGGAUUCGAUGUGCUUCAGAUCGAGAAGUAGAGAGAACUUGUACUUGGGAGUCGGGCAACGCGGCUGUGUUGAGUCUCUCUGCGGGAGCAUAAUCACGUGCCAUAGUUAGGGGGGAGGCGCACUGAUUUUGGAUGCCGGCGCAUGAUCACGUGCCAUGGUUAGGUGGACGCCUGAACCCAGUUGGCUAAUUUUCAAAAGUGUAUCCGCGUCCCAUAACUUUAAGAUUGCAUUUGGCGAUUCGAAUAAAGUUCAAAUUAAAAUAAAAUGUAUCAUAUUCUACAUUUGGUAUAUACUCAAAAUAAGAUAAAAUCAACUACAAAUAAGAUAUAAAUCGGAUAAAAGUAUCUCAUUGGGAAAUGCGGAUAUGAUUUCUGAUAUUCAUAAUAAGAAAUUUUUUUCUCAAAUAACAAAUUUCUAAAAUUAAAAAAUUACAAUUAUAUUUCAGUAUAAAUAAUAUUUGAAUCUAGUAUAAAAAAUAAAAAAUUAAUUUUUUAAUUUAAUCUUAUUUUUAUUUAUAUAUUAGAAUUUAAUUCUAUCUUAUAAUAUAAAUUCAAUAUAUAAAUAUAUAUUAUUACAUAUUUUCAAUGUUUUAAUAUUUCAGGUAUAUUAGUAUAAUUUUCUAUUUAAUACAUUUUUAUUAGAGAGUGAUGGAAGGGGGAAGAGAGAAAUAAAAAAAUAAUUAAAAAAGAGAGGAAAAUAAAAGAAAAAUAAAAUAAAAUAAAGUAGACAAAAAUGUCACGAGAAACAACGAUUCCAAAAGAGAGAAUAAAAGACACCCUCCUUAGCUAUUCAGCAGCCACCCCACAUCCCCAGUAGACAAAAAGGGCCCGGAAGACACUAGUUCAGCCUAUUAUUUCAAUAAUAAAGCGAUGAAUCAAUAGAAACAACACGGUAGUAAGAGAUGAAAAAGUGAUUACCUUCUGCGAGCUAAGAUACGAAGAGAGGCGCGAGAUCGGCGAGAGAAUACCCUAAGCAAGCUUGGGCAGGAACUUUCAAGGGGGAAAAAGAACGGAGAAAGCGAGUGAGGACUGAUCAGUGGAUGAUAAUCUCAAAUUGUUCUGCAAGAGAGAGGCCGAAUGCGAAAGAUAAAGUGAGCAACGAGAGAGAGAGAGGGUGGGGAAGGGAGGGGGGGAUCAAUCAGUAGUAGACGACAGUCUCGAAUUAUUAUUGACCGACCGGUAGACGAUAGGCUGAUUGACUGGUAGCAAUAAAAAUUCUUUUCAGAUGGCAAGCAAAGUCAAGCCACACAAUUUAGACCACAGUACAGAAUGACCACUUCCAUUCAUAUCCACUUAAAAACCAUUUUGUUAAAUAGAUAAAUGUCGCUCUAACCGGCUUGUAAAUUUUCCAUUAUAUUAUUAUCAAAGACGUUUUUACUCCAGUAGGUGCUGCAUUUUCCUCCCACCAUAAAGAUGCAUAAAUCAUAUUAUCAAAUCCAUUGUAGGUCAAUAAUUUCCUACACUAUAUAUAUGUAAAAGUCAUGUCUUUGUUGUAAGCAAUAAAAUCUCAUGAAAAGCACAUCUUAUGACAAGUUUCUCUAAUUCAAUCCAUGAAGAUCAACUCCACCUAAAAAUUGUUCACAUAAUAAAUACGUGUUGACAAUUUUGAUCCAUAGCCUAUGAAAGGUUUUGUGCAUUAUUGAAGAGAAUAGACUAGCAUGAUCAAUAUUUAGAAAAAUAUUUUUAACUAUUUUCAAGAAAAAAAAAGAUUUAUUUUUGCAAAAACUGAAUAUUUUGGAUGUUUUAGCCCUUAAGUAAUUUUGGACAAUUGGGGUACACAUAGGGCUGAUGGACCCAUAAUCGGGUCUAGAAGGAUAUUUUGGUAAUUUUCAUUCUUGAGGGAGUUCAAUCAACCAUUAAAUUUUAGAAAACAACAUUAGGAUAAAUGCUUAGGCUAGCAUUCGAUUCCACUAGAUUCAACCAAUCUAACCAUACAUAACCCAUUAGUUUAAUGAGAAGAUUGUAGUAAGGAAAUUAGCAAUAUAUAUGCAAUGAUGAUUUUGGAAAAGUCGAAGGAACUUCACGAGUAAUGUUUUGGUCGCCUUAAAGCAUAUUUGGUGUUAUGCAAUGAGUAAUAAUCAAAUGUAUUUUUGUCCUGUCAAUUGUAAUAAACUAGAGAAUGAAGUUCAGGCUCACCUGGAGGAAUGAUGCAGAGAUGAAAUUCUUGUAAUGGGUUUUAGUAUUUGAGAAGAAGUUGCCUUGAACAAAUCAAGUUGUGUUCGAGUCCCAAAAGGCAGUACAAUUUGAGAUCACCUUCACACCUCAACUUGAAGCUGUCAAUACAAACAUAUCUCAGAACAAAAACGAGGAUCUCAGUGUUAUGGUGAUUGGUGUUUCUCCUCUUCAAGCACAAGCAUUUGGGACUUUAUAUAAAGUUGUACUUCUCUUGCCCCAGAGGAGACGCAAAAUCUUGAGGUGGAUGGCGUUUCUUGGACGAGGCAAUUGUACUUCUUUUGAUUGUUGCCUUUUUGACCAAGACCACCAAAAACAAUCCCUUCCUCGAAAUUGGCAAGACAACCCCCUAUAGACUUCACUUAUUAAUUCUUUUUGUUAUUGGAUUUUGCAGCCAAGCAAAUCAUAGUGGAUAUUAACUUUUUUACACGAUGCUAGUCCUUAACAGCCACGGAAUCAUCUCUUUUUCUUUCUUUUUUUUCUUUUUUUUUCUUUUUUUGUCAAACGAAAUUAUCUCCUUUACUUGGGAACUUUUGCAAGGUGUUCAUAUUGAAAAUUACUUCUUCUCUUGCCUCGAAAAGUGAGCGCAAUGUGCUAGGGACCCACACAAUCUUACCAUGGAUUUGCGUGUCCUCGAUGAGAAAAUUUACUAUUUUUAUUGACUAACCCCAACCUUUUGUUAGUUCUCUUUGUAAUUGAAUCACAUGGCCGCACAAAUCAAAGUGAAGAUGAACAACAUUUUGCUUUCCCUUCCUAUUGAAAUAAAAGCCUCUCACCGUUGGAGGCAUUGAAAUGGUCAAAAAUCUAUUUGUUAACUCAUAUUUAGUGACUUGAAUCAUAUAUGGAUUGGCUCAAAUUGAAAGAAUAGGUUGUUAUGAAUUUAAAGUAACAAGAUUUUAUUCAAUAUAUAAUAUAUUUUAAUGAGUUUGAAUCAUGUCUAUAUGCAAUUCAUGUUAAUUAAAAAAAAGAAGAUGAGAAAAGUAAUGAUCUUUUCAUUUGCUUUCACAUGGCUCUUCUUAGGGGAACUCGUGCUCGAGUGUGGUAUGCCUCGACACGUGGAGCCCAUUGUAUGUGGCGCGACAAUUGCAUGAGCUUUUUCUUUACUUGCCCAUUGCUUUAAUCAAUGAUUAAGUGACCCAUCAUUCAUUCCCUAUUCAUUAUCGAUUGUUUAAUCUAGUGGGACUCAUGUAGAACUUAUAUGGCUCCGGUCAUUUUAGUUUUCCAAAUGUAAUCUUUCCCACAAUAUCAUUUAACUCCACAUCUAGACGACGACGUCAAUUAGGGCCAAUUCAGCCAAAUCUCCUCUGUACUCUUAAGGACGUAAGGAAUUAGAUUGAUAUCGUGUGCUUAAUAUGCACACAAAAAAAUUUAUCUUAGGUAUUUAGGGAUCAAAGUUAUGGUGAAAAAUAAGGGAAUGAAAAAAGCUGGGAAAAAUUACCGAAAAAGUCCUAAACCAAUUGCAUUUGUGCUAAUUCAGUCCUAAACCUCCAAAUUUGAUCAAUUUAGUCCUAAAUCUUUUAAUAAUUUGUCAAUAUAGUCUAUCCGGCCAAUUUUGAUGGGUUUAGGUUGCUUUGGAUGGUGGUUUUUCUUGGUUAUUAGCCGAAUUGCAUCCUAAUGGGCGCUUAAAUGUCAAAAAUACUCUUCAUCAGCUUAUCACACCAUACGAUACAACUGUCACAUGAAAUAUCUGUUAUUCUACUGCAUCAUUUCUCUCUCUCUCUCUCUCUCUCUCUCUCUCUGCCCCCACCACCGUGAAUUAAUGUCACCAUCCUAUAGUCACUCGCCCAAACAACACCAACAUGCCAUCCACAACUUAGGCCCCAUCUCUCUCUCUCUCUCUCUCUCUCUCUCUCUCUUCUUUGUCACGGCUGAACUCAAAAUAGAGGCGUCUUGCUCAAAGCUGCAAUGACACUUGACUAGACCUAGCAUCACAUCUUAGUAAUUUUGGCAUGCAUUGAGCUAGACGCAGCAUUGGAUCUCUACUAGAUCUAAUGUCGAGCCCAACACUGCAAUGGGCUGUCAUUGAGGAUUCAUAACUCUAGGAUAAAUAUGUUGUUGCAACAUCAAGCGCAUCGCCAAAUUGGGUCAAUGGGAUAUUCUUUCACAUAACAUGAUCAUGCCAGUAUAUGCAUUUUGCAAAAGAAAUCUUUAUCACGAAAAAAAAAAUACUUUUUCAAAACUUCUAUAUCAAAUUUCCUAUGAAACCGAGUUAAUUACCUUUUAGAAAAUUGUCUGGUGAGGGAAAGCAAGUCAAAGUCUUCCACCAUCUUCCUUGCUCAGUUGCAAAGAAAGUGGUAAGGCAAAAGCUGACAAGACC
rnacentral:lncRNA from 1 species